rnacentral:snoRNA from 1 species
UUGCAUGUGGAAAUGUCUGCUCCUUAUUCCUUUGAGAGCAAGAAUACAUUCAUAACAUGCUACAUUAAAAAAGGAGUUCUUGGCAGUGCCUGUGGCUCAGUGAGUGGGGCGCUGGUGCCAUAUAUGAGGGUAGCAGGUUUGAACCCAGCCUCGGCUGAACUGCAACAAAA